GCUGGCAGCCAGCUCUCUGCAAUUCUCAUAUGGUUGCCCACUGAAGCUAAGCAUGGAUGAGCCCGAUCAGUACCUGAAUAGGAGACCACAUGGGAAAGAUAGGUUGCUGCCAGAA
ensembl:rRNA 5S_rRNA 5S ribosomal RNA